rnacentral:rRNA from 1 species
UGCCAGCAGCCGCGGUAAUACGAAGGUCCCAAGCGUUGUUCGGAAUCACUGGGCGUAAAGCGUAUGUAGGCGGAUCAGAAAGUUAGAUGUGAAAUCCCUGGGCUCAACCCAGGAACUGCAUUUAAAACUAGUGAUCUAGAAUUUGGUAGGGGUUAGUAGAAUUUCCAGUGUAGAGGUGAAAUUCGUAGAUAUUGGAAAGAAUACCAGUGGCGAAGGCGACUAACUGGGCCAUUUUUGACGCAGAGAUACGAAAGCGUGGAUAGCUAACAGGAUUAGAUA